rnacentral:rRNA from 1 species
AACGAACGCUGGCGGCAGGCCUAACACAUGCAAGUCGAGCGAGAUCUUCGGAUCUAGCGGCGGACGGGUGAGUAACGCGUGGGAAUAUGCCCUUCUCUACGGAAUAGCCUCGGGAAACUGGGAGUAAUACCGUAUACGCCCUUAGGGGGAAAGAUUUAUCGGAGAAGGAUUAGCCCGCGUUGGAUUAGGUAGUUGGUGGGGUAAUGGCCUACCAAGCCGACGAUCCAUAGCUGGUUUGAGAGGAUGAUCAGCCACACUGGGACUGAGACACGGCCCAGACUCCUACGGGAGGCAGCAGUGGGGAAUCUUAGACAAUGGGGGCAACCCUGAUCUAGCCAUGCCGCGUGAGUGAUGAAGGCCUUAGGGUUGUAAAGCUCUUUCAGCUGGGAAGAUAAUGACGGUACCAGCAGAAGAAGCCCCGGCUAACUCCGUAG